GACAUGGUGGAGGUGAUGGUGGUGCUGCACUUGGAUUGAUUCUGUUUUUGCUGCCUCUGAGCUGUUAUCAAGUAGAGAAUUGCUACCUACAUUUCCGGUGGGAACCUGAUUAGCGGUUGAAGCAGAAGUAUAUCUGCAUCAGAGAAGAAUAAUUCAACUGUCAAAUUUGAGCUCCUAUUGCAUGACCAGUUUCAGUAUCUCCUGUAUCUCUCCGUCUCUUCAAACUAAGCUCAAGGCCAGUUCCUUUCCAGUUGGGUCCUCAAGCUGCAAAUUUGGUAUUCUGGGUACUCCAAGCUCCAGGUCUUUGCCCAUCACAAUAUGGUCUGAAGCAAAAAGCAAAUGGUGACAUGAGAUGUAUAAGAGCAAGAGUACAAUGAAAAACAGACCCAUGCAUACCAUGUUCAUCAUCCUGCUUUUCGUGUUCUCUUGUUGUGGUCGUAGGCAC